rnacentral:rRNA from 1 species
UACAGAGGUCCCAAGCGUUGUUCGGAUUCACUGGGCGUAAAGGGUGCGUAGGUGGUGGGGUAAGUCGGAUGUGAAAUCUCCAAGCUCAACUUGGAAACUGCAUUGGAAACUACCUUGCUAGAGGAUUUGAGGGGGGAUUGGAAUACUUGGUGUAGCAGUGAAAUGCGUAGAUAUCAAGUGGAACACCAGUGGCGAAGGCGAAUCCCUGGAAAAUACCUGACACUGAGGCACGAAAGCUAGGGGAGCAAACCAGG